GAUAAACGCUGGCGGCGUGCAUGAGACAUGCAAGUCGAACGAGUGACUCGGGCUUGCUCGAGUCGCUAGUGGCGGACGGCUGAGUAACGCGUAGGUGACCUGCCCCGAAGUGGGGAAUAACUGCCCGAAAGGGUGGCUAAUACCGCAUGUGGUCGCACGUUCAAUCGUACGUGUAAAGCCGCAAGGCGCUUCGGGAGGGGCCUGCGUCCGAUUAGCUCGUUGGUGGGGUAACGGCUCACCAAGGCGACGAUCGGUAGGUGGUCUGAGAGGACGAUCACCCAGACUGGGACUGAGACACGGCCCAGACUCCUACGGGAGGCUG
rnacentral:rRNA from 1 species